GCCCGGCUAGCUCAAUCGGUAGAGCGUGAGACUCUUAUGGACGACUCCAUCAAUCUCAAGGUUGUGGGUUCGACCCCCACGUCGGGCU